GAUGAACGCUAGCUACAGGCUUAACACAUGCAAGUCGAGGGGCAGCAUCAUCAAAGCUUGCUUUGAUGGAUGGCGACCGGCGCACGGGUGAGUAACACGUAUCCAACCUGCCGACAACACUGGGAUAGCCUUUCGAAAGAAAGAUUAAUACCGGAUGGCAUAAUUAUUCCGCAUGGGAUAAUUAUUAAAGAAUUUCGGUUGUCGAUGGGGAUGCGUUCCAUUAGGCAGUUGGCGGGGUAACGGCCCACCAAACCUACGAUGGAUAGGGGUUCUGAGAGGAAGGUCCCCCACAUUGGAACUGAGACACGGUCCAAACUCCUACGGGAGGCAGCAGUGAGGAAUAUUGGUCAAUGGACGAGAGUCUGAACCAGCCAAGUAGCGUGAAGGAUGACUGCCCUAUGGGUUGUAAACUUCUUUUAUACGGGAAUAAAGUGAGCCACGUGUGGUUUUUUGUGUGUACCGUAUGAAUA
rnacentral:rRNA from 1 species